GACGAACGCUGGCGGCGUGCUUAACACAUGCAAGUCGAGCGGUAAGGCCCUUUCGGGGGUACACGAGCGGCGAACGGGUGAGUAACACGUGGGUGACCUGCCCUCAGCUCUGGGAUAAGCCUGGGAAACCGGGUCUAAUACUGGAUAUGACUCCAUGACGCAUGUUGUGGGGUGAAAGCCUUGUGCGGCUGAGGAUGGGCCCGCGGCCUAUCAGCUUGGUUGGUGGGGNGAUGGCCUACCAAGGCGACGACGGGUAGCCGGCCUGAGAGGGCGACCGGCCACACUGGGACUGAGACACGGCCCAGACUCCUACGGGAGGCAGCAGUGGGGAAUCUUGCGCAAUGGGCGAAAGCCUGACGCAGCGACGCCGCGUGAGGGAUGACGGCCU
rnacentral:rRNA from 1 species